rnacentral:tRNA from 1 species
GGGGAUGUAGCUCAGUGGUAGAGCGCUUGCCUAGCAAGCGCAAGGCCCUGGGUUCGGUCCCCAGCUCCA